UACGGGGGGGGCAAGCGUUGUUCGGAAUUACUGGGCGUAAAGGGCUCGUAGGCGGCCAACUAAGUCAGACGUGAAAUCCCUCGGCUUAACCGGGGAACUGCAUCUGAUACUGGAUGGCUUGAGAUUGGGAGAGGGAUGCGGAAUUCCAGGUGUAGCGGUGAAAUGCGUAGAUAUCUGGAGGAACACCGGUGGCGAAGGCGGCGUCCUGGACCAAUACUGACACUGAAAAGCGAAAGCCAGGGGAGCAAACGGG
rnacentral:rRNA from 1 species